rnacentral:rRNA from 1 species
UACGUAGGGUGCAAGCGUUGUCCGGAAUUAUUGGGCGUAAAGAGCUCGUAGGCGGUUUGUUGCGUCGGCUGUGAAAUCCCGAGGCUCAACCUCGGGUCUGCAGUCGAUACGAGCAAACUAGAGUGUUGCAGGGGAGACUGGAAUUCCUGGUGUAGCGGUGAAAUGCGCAGAUAUCAGGAGGAACACCGGUGGGCCGAAGGCGGUUCUCUGGGCA